GUGCACCACAUUGUCUCUGGGUGUUCAUAUGGCUUCCGGUGCUUCAGGUACAUAGACACUUUCAGGAGUUGAUUUAAGUAUUUCACGUUAUUAAUGUGGAUGUGGAGGAUGUUACAGUUAAAUGUUAAAUAUGAAGUACAAGUGUAGUGCUGUAAAUCAUCCACUUUAUCAAGUCCGAAAGGGUUGUAGAAGUAAUUCAGUACUUCAGCAGCUAGAUAUGUUUGUAAUAGCAUGCUGAAGCCAGGUCAUCCUUAAGGGUACAACUUACCCACAAUGUUCACUGUGUGCUGCCAUUCAUCCCGAAAGAAGAGCAUGUUAUGAGCUUUCAUGGUGAACUUGUAUUCUUACAUUGCCAGGCAUCUCUGAUGCAAUAGAAAACCACAGGAGCUUUACAACAUUUAAAUACCUUUUGACACAUCAAGAGUAGCCUCCAAUUCUAAACUGAUAGAUUUUAUUGUUUAUGUUAUUCACAUUGAUGUAAUAGUCAGCAUAUUAUUUAAUCAUGAUCACAUAUUUUAUAUCUUUUCCAGUAAUAGAUGACAUUGUGAAAGAAGGCUGUCCUGCUCCCAGUGCAGUGCUGAAACGGAAAAGGAAAGAGAGUCCAGUCAGCACACAGUCAUAGAGGAGUAAAACGUAUUCACACCGACCCGAGAGGAUAAAAUCCUAAUGAAAUAAAUGAACACUUGAUUAAUGUAGUAGUUGAUCAAUAGUUGAUUCAUUGUUGCCACUCUAAAUGAAUGUGCUUACAGUUUGAAUGCUCCACCUUUCAUUUUAAAUAUGUCCUGUAGUGUGGGAUUUGCAUUGUCCAGUCUUGGUCAUCACUCAGUCUCAGUUUAGAUGUUCUUAAGUAAGAGCAUAAGCUGACAGUGAAUGAGACUGUGAUCUUUUAUUUUCCCCACUGGUCUCAUUGCUACACAUUUCCCUUAAUUCAUACAGUAAGUGUGUCCAUUCUUUGUAAACAGACACGUCUACUGACACAUGAUUUUGGUGUGAUCUUGGUUUUCAAAGACAAAAAAAAUACCCUAGUCUCUGCUGUGAAGUGCUCUACUCUUCUAUGAAACAGUCAUUUGAAUUGAUUUUGAUUCAUUUGAGCACUGAUGACUGCCCAUAUAUAUUUAUCCUCUCAUCCAUCUCUAUAGUCCAUUGAUUACAGUCAUUUACCAAUGAUGCAUGCAAGCUCUGUACCAGAAUAACUACAUAUCUUCCCUUUCAGAAUGCCCACAUACAGUAUCAGGGAGCAAAGAGUUCUACCCUGUGAAGAGGGUUGCCUAAUGCAAAGUUUUAAAGGUUCAAUAAUCCCACACAGAGUCAUUCACCUGCUGACGUUUCCUAGAACUCUCAUGUUAGAGAAUCUACAGUCAUAAAGUGCUGAUAGUCUUUAUGUAAUCUGUGUAAUAAUCCUGAAAGAGUAUUCAAGACGGAGGUAUAGCCAAAGAUUUGAACUGAAUAGGGACAAAAAUUGCAACUGGUGGAGUGGGAGCCGUGCAAGUCCUGGUAUGUAUGACUUGUGAUCACAGCAUAUCUUAUUUGAUACCAACACUGAGAACAUUCACAUGCACACCAAUAAUCUUUGUUUAUGAUACUGGCAAAGUGCUCUCUGUAGCCCGACGUGUGCCUCCAAAAAAUGUCGUCAUCAGUCGAGGCAACUGAGACCAAUGGAGACCGCGGUGCUGUCAUUAGUCAGUUAAC